rnacentral:rRNA from 2 species
UGGGGAAUAUUGCACAAUGGGCGAAAGCCUGACGCAGCAACGCCGCGUGGGGGAUGAAGGCCUUCGGGUUGUAAACCUCUUUCACCAUCGACGAAGCCCUUUGGGGUGACGGUAGGUGGGGAAGAAGCACCGGCUAACUACGUGCCCGCAGCCGCGGUAAUACGUAGGGUGCGAGCGUUGUCCGGAUUUAUUGGGCGUAAAGAGCUCGUAGGCGGUUUGUCGCGUCGGCCGUGAAAACCUACAGCUUAACUGUGGGCUUGCGGUCGAUACGGGCAGACUUGAGUUCGGCAGGGGAGACUGGAAUUCCUGGUGUAGCGGUGAAAUGCGCAGAUAUCAGGAGGAACACCGGUGGCGAAGGCGGGUCUCUGGGCCGAUACUGACGCUGAGGAGCGAAAGCGUGGGGAGCGAACAGG